rnacentral:rRNA from 1 species
UACGUAGGGGGCAAGCGUUGUCCGGAUUUAUUGGGCGUAAAGAGCGUGUAGGCGGCUUUACAGGUCCGUUGUGAAAACUCGAGGCUCAACCUCGAGACGCCGGUGGAAACCGUAAAGCUAGAGUCCGGAAGAGGAGAGUGGAAUUCCUGGUGUAGCGGUGAAAUGCGCAGAUAUCAGGAAGAACACCCGUGGCGAAGGCGGCUCUCUGGGCAUUAACUGACGCUGAGGAGCGAAAGCAUGGGGAGCGAACAGG